GCCUGGGUGGCUCAGUCGGUUAAGUGUCUGACUUCGGCUCAGGUCAUGAUCUCACAGUUCAUGGGUUCAAGCCCUGUGUCAGGCU
rnacentral:tRNA from 1 species